rnacentral:rRNA from 1 species
UACGUAGGGAGCAAGCGUUGUCCGGAUUUAUUGGGCGUAAAGAGCUCGUAGGCGGUUCUGUAAGUCGGGUGUGAAAACUCCAGGCUCAACCUGGAGAUGCCACUCGAUACUGCGGUGACUUGAGUCUGGUAGGGGAGAUUGGAAUUCCUGGUGUAGCGGUGGAAUGCGCAGAUAUCAGGAGGAACACCAAUGGCGAAGGCAGAUCUCUGGGCCGAUACUGACGCUGAGGAGCGAAAGCGUGGGGAGCGAACAGG